rnacentral:lncRNA from 1 species
UUUGCUAAACUUUCUCCCCUUUCCUCUUCCGCUUCCCCUCCCCUUGGGUUGCAAUGCAGUGCCAUUGCCAGGUACCCUCCUUUAUAUUCUCUCUAGUCUACCCAAUUUUAUCUAUUCGAUGAUUCUGAUUUUUGUUAUCUAUCUUUCUUUUUUUUCAAUCUCUUAGCAAAUUUGCGUGAUCGAUCCAAGAAUUAUUUAUCCUGUUUAAGCAGUACAACUAGUGAAGUAGAAAUUUGCAGAUUGCCCCUAUUAUCACCCUCAUUGAUAUGCAUUUCUUUUGAGUUGACCUCCGUUCUUGUUUUUAUUUUAAUCUUUUAAUUCUUUUUCUUGAUGUUCUCGUUUUACUGUAGUUGAUUUGGGUAAAUGUUAUGGUUAGGCUUGAGUGGUGUAAUCCCUACCCAGAAAUCAACAUUUCCUGUAGUCCUUAUAUAAUUGAAGAGUAGAAAGGAACGAACAGAGCAUCCUUGGUUUUAGUCUUACAGAUUCUUGUCAAAUGCCCAUUGACACGCUGCCAUCCAUAACCUAAAGUAUGAGAGCAAGUAGGUCUUCCUUUAGCACUAGCGAUGGGCAUGAAGAAGUUCAUUUUCACAGUGCUGCUUAUAUUUCAAAUUGGGACGAUUAUGAUAUAUGAGCAAAUAAACCUAUGAUAUUUUCUGACCAAUUGUGAUUGUAUAACAUUUUCAUGUGUGUUUUAUUGUGCACUAAUUGGCUUGUAAGAUUGGUUUAUAUGAUGCAAAGUAAUUGAACCUUUGUCUAUUCAGUUGAAGAAUAAUCUUUCACAAAGUGAUGUAUACAAGAUGGCUGAUUAGGUUGUGAAAAGUUAUAUCGACUUUGUUCACUUGUAAUCUUGGUUUACAUGUUCAUAGGUUAGAGAAUUUGUAUUCUGAAGCAUAGGGUUUUGUGAGGAGUAAUGUAAUUUUGUUACAGGCUUUAUUAAUAUAGAUGUAAUGUAAUUCAGCUGAUGCCAAAGAAGAUGGUUCAAAUUUGAGCUGGUUUUGCAUCUUCAUUUUAAUUCUGUUGGCAAUAAUAGAUGGUCCCG